ensembl:lncRNA
AUGAAGUGUAAUUUAUAUGGCAUGUGAGUUGGUAUUAAGGAGAUCAGUUUCUCAAAGGCUUCAGGUGUUAUGAUCCCUGCUUCAGCCUCUGCCCUUCUUCCUCUUUUUCCCUCUUUUUCCUUCUUUCUCCUAUUGUUCCUCAUCUGUUUCUGUUUUGACCUGUCUCUCUUUGGUUCCCUCUGUCUGUCAUCUCUCUCAUCCUGUCAUCUCUCUCAUCCUGUAGUCUCUCUCAUCCUGUCAUCUCACUCAUCCUGUAGUCUCUCUCAUCCUGUCAUCUCUCUCAUCCUGUCAUCUCACUCAUCCUGUCAUCUCUCUCAUCCUGUAGUCUCUCUCAUCCUGUCAUCUCUCUCAUCCUGUCAUCUCACUCAUCCUGUCAUCUCUCUCAUCCUGUAGUCUCUCUCAUCCUGUCGUCUCUCUCAUCCUGUCAUCUCACUCAUCCUGUCAUCUCUCUCAUCCUGUCAUCUCUCUCAUCCUGUAGUAUCUCUCAUCCUGUCAUCUCACUCAUCCUGCCAUCUCUCUCAUCCUGUCAUCUCUCUCAUCCUGUAGUCUCUCUCAUCCUGUCAUCUCUCUCAUCCUGUCAUCUCACUCAUCCUGUCAUCUCUCUCAUCCUGUCUGUCUCUGCUUUCCUCCUGAUUUGGAUUCCCCUCAUGGACUCUGUUUUUCUGCUCAUCCCAGCUUGCCUCCAGUCUGGACUCUUGUCCAGACAGGGGUAUGGUAAGAAAAUUCUUGAACGUGUGACGUUGAGACGGCGGUGGCAGGUGUGGGCGAUCUCCAUCAGGGUCAUCAGCAAAAGUGGGAGCAGAUGUUGCAGAGCCUAGCAGUUCACUUCUCCUGCACAAUAAAACCAGACUCUACUCUUCUGUUGACGCCGGAUCGUAAAAGCAUCUACCUGGACUGCCUUCUGUUUGUGUUCAUCUGUCUCCUGGAUUCAGACUGGCCAAUCCCUCUCACCUUCUGGACAAGUCAACUGGUUCAUCUCCAACCUUUUCCUCCGCCAUCCUCCGACCAGCUCCAGCUUCAGCCCUCACCUGCCGCCUCUGCAGCAGACACAUGUCCGUGCCACCUUUCUGUCUUUGAGCCUCUGCCACCCUGUUUCCUAGUUGCCAGCUGGGAACCAGUCUGAGUAGUCUCAGUUUGGGUUUUCUGGUUUAUAGUUCUGGUAGAGAGUAAUAACUACUGUAGUCUUUUGUUGUGGAGUUCUUGCUCGUAGUUGUAGUUAUUGUAGCUGUUUCCGGAGUUUCUAGCUUGUUUAAAAUAUCUAUUCUAGUAUUUGAGACUUGGGUUUGUUGUGUAUUUGUUUCACCAUAGAAAUCUUGAGUUAUUAGCGACUUGUUUGAUCAAGCCUCUCAGGAGUUAGAUUUGAGUGAGCAUUAAAGCUCUUUUGCAUCAUAGUUGUUCUUUGUACUUCUUCAAUCUUAGUGUAGAUCCUCUGAGUCUUGAGUUAUUCUAGUUUCCCUGUAUUCUUCUCCUGCCCAGGUCAGCUAUAGUUUACUUCUGGUCUUGUUAAUCUGCCAGCCGCUAGAGGCGUUGCAAAAUUUUAAUUGAAGUUGUUGUGUAUUUCCGGGUUUGAGUUCAGUAGGGAUUUGUAGUUCUAUAAGUUUUUCUUAUCGUAAAUAAAUGAUUUAUUGCUG